GACCCAGUGGUGAAAUGAUCACACCUGCCCUGUAUAGCGCUUUCAUUUAUUGUUGGCAGGAACUCCCGGUUCGAAUCCGGGUUGGGUCA